rnacentral:lncRNA from 1 species
GUCGCCAAAACAAGAAAUUAGAUAAAAAAAAAAAAGCACUCAAAUAUAAACGAGACAGAUUGGAUCUGCUCUCCUAGGGUUGACCACUCAAUGAACAAAUGAUCCCCACCUCAUGCACCUCCUUGGGCAAGAACCCACCUCUCCCCAGCCCUGGGUACAAUCUUCAUGCACAGAUUCUUCCAGAAACACUUCAAAAGUCCCCACAGACUGACCAGUCUUACUCUGAGUUCUGUCACAAUGAGGACUAGCUGGAGUGUGCACUAGAGGCCACAUAGCUCAGAACAGUUAGGCAAAGAGCUGUGGCUGAGCAUACAGAGGACUCCAAAGGUAGAAUGAGAGAGUAAGGUCGGAACCUCCACCGAGUUUAUGUGAUGGGCUUUUGUCUUUAACUUUAGUGUUAAAUUCAAGUACAGUAUGAGCAAGAGCUGCAUUUCCUUGGCCGUGGAGAACUUGUCCAUGGACAUUGAUCCACCUCAUAGCCCUCUGCUGCACAAGUGUGUUUACCCCUCGGGCAGCCCCCAAAUCCCCUCACAGCAGCGCAGAAGAUCCAUCGGUUCAUUUUGUAACCAUGAGUCUAUCCAUUUCUGAAUGACUGUGACCAUUCAGUAAUGAAAUAAUAGAAAUUGAUUUAUUAGUAUAGUAUAAUCUUUAAUAAAUUUCGUGCCAAAAUGCAUGGUUUUCCACUUAGCAUUCAAAAUGUUGCGUAGAAAGUAGUUUUCGAUUUCUUAUGUAUUCUUCUAAGUGGGUUGAAAUCAGUUUCUACAUUUUUGUUCGUUUCUUGUUAAAUCUGUUGCAUUCUCCCAGGCUGUCUUUUUUUCCAGCAGACCCCUGCAUGCAGCUGUGUAAGGACUUUCUCUAAUACUUGUGAAUUGUCUCAUCUGCAAUAACCACUGAACAUCAGCCCUCCAUGGGAUUCUUUAGAUUUUUGGUGAAGUAUUUUGUUACCUCAGUCUUGUAUCAAGUUGCUGUAUUUUUCAGCUUGUUACAUUGAUAAUAAUUGUUUCACUAAUUAAAUACUUUAAUGUACAGACAUCUUUGUUUACUUUGAAAUUAAAUGUGUUUUCCAAUGAAUAUUGUUCAACAUUUAUUAAAAUCACAUGCAUUCAUUCACAUGGCAGUUACUGUGCCAGGUAGAACAUGGAGGAGGUAUGGGGCACUCAGAGCUCAGCUAAGAGUAACUAGAACAUAAAUAGCAUAUAGGAGCAGUACUCUCAGAAAGGGACAGGGGCAGUGCUGUGGGGGCACUCAGGAGAGGAAGGCAAGAGAGCUGGAGACACCUUAGAGGGCAAAGGGCAUUUGAAAAUUCAGUUCAGAGACCACAGAAAACUUGGAGGCCAGGGCUAAGAAAUGAGAAGCAGGGUGAAGGGAGAGGGGAAGCGCCCAGGUCUCACUGUGUAAAGAAUUAGGGGAGCUAUGCGGUCUAAGUCCGAAAAGAUAUUUUAGAAGUUCAUGAUCCUAGGCAAAAGUAAACAACAACAAAACCGAAACCAAAAUCCACUCUCGCUUGCUUAAAAGAAAAAGGACAGUUUUAAAGGGCUGUCUUGUGGAACCCUGGGGCAAGGACCAAGGGAAUCUCAAGAGGGGCUGGAAGGAGAAAUGGAAAGUUCUUGCUAUCUCUCUCCCUCUCUCAUGGGAGCUCCCCGAGUCUUCUCUCCAGGCAUCUCCUUCCUUCUCCUUCCAGAAUGGCUUCUCUGCUUGAAUGUGCAGCAUCAAGGGAGGCCAGGCCGGAGGAAAAGCGACUGAAAGUCAUUGAGAGAGUGCUCCAGGGAAUGCCACGAUCCACGCUGAUUAUGGGAUCCCCUGGCUCUGCCUGCCUGGUCAGUGCCUACCAACGCUGCAGUUCUCUAAGCAAAGGUCCUCGGCCUCUGUUCUACCAGGCUAGUUCAGGCCAGCAUGAUCACACCUCCGUAACUGCGACGAGGCUUCGCUUGCUGAAGUAGCCAUAGUCUUAUUUCCUCCAUUGAUCGAGAUGACCCAGUAUCCCCAGUUUUACCCAUACGGGUCCCCGUUCUCAGCCAGCGUUCAAGGGCUCUGAAACGAUGCAUCUAAUUUUGGGAGGAAGUGAGCACAGUUGUCACAAAGUUGGAAAGUUUUGAAAUCAAAACUUGAGCCCACGAUGGCUAGCCUGCAAAGCUCCUGCCCCUCAGCCUGAGUCAGGCGCCACAAACAGCCCCCAGGAGAGACGCCACCUUCGCUAGUCGAUCCGCAGCUAGCGCAUGCUUCACGGAGGAACGCCGGUUUAGCCAGAAGGGCGGUCCCGCGCAGGCAGGUGCUUCCAGAGGUGAGAGGCGGCGUGGAAGGAGCCGGGCAGGCCCGGGUCGGGUCCGUGGGACUGGAGGAACUGGGCAAAGGAGGGGCGGGGCUCCAGCAGUGCGGUCAUGCCUGUGGGCGGGACACGGGGGAAGGGCGGCCCCGAAAGGGGGCGGUGCUACGACGGAAAGGGCCAGGAGAUGCUGAGGCGAAGAGGGGCCGGGCGGCUACGCUGAGGGAGCAGAGCUGCGGUGUGAGGGCCUGGGCCGCGCGACCGCGCGAGCGCUCAGUAGCUGAGGGGUAGGUGGGCAGGGCUGAGUCAGUGCUGAAGGGCAAGGAGCAGGAGGGCCAGCGCGGUGGGUGGGACAGGGUGAGGAAGGGAAGGCGUUUCGGGACUGUAAUCUCCACAGAGGUGCAAGCGAAAGGCUGCCUUGAG